UAGCGCCCGCGGUGGGCCCGGCGUGGAUGCACAGUAGGAUUUCGCGGGCAAUCCAUCCACGUACGGUCCGGUACAUUCAGGAAUUUUCCUGAAUUUAACUUCUUCU
rnacentral:ncRNA from 12 species